UAACGUCAUCUUCCAGCGUCCGUUCAAAUCAGCGAUAGCGGUACCCUACCCGAAUUUGAAAAGGGGCAUAUUAAUCCCAUUACUAUUAAACUAGACAAAUAAACCAGUUUGAGAUGAUAGACAUGAUUGAGAAGGAGGAUUCUAUCAUUAGCGAGGAAGAAGCUGCUCAGUAUGACCGGCAGAUCCGACUAUGGGGUCUGGAUGCACAAAAGAGACUGCGGGGGUCUCGUGUGCUCCUGGUGGGGCUCAGGGGCCUGGGGGCUGAGGUGGCCAAAAAUCUAAUCCUGGCUGGAGUGAAGGGGCUGACCAUGCUGGACCACGAACUGGUGACGGAGGAGUCAUGCCGAGCCCAGUUCCUGAUUCCAGUGAGUAAUCAGGGCCAGAAUCGAGCCCAAGCCUCCCUGGUGCGGGCCCAGUACCUCAACCCCAUGGUAGAGGUGAAGGCAGACACAGACAGGGUGGAGACCAAACCAGACGAAUUCUUCCUACAAUUUGAGGCAGUGUGUCUGACCGGCUGCUCCAGAGAUCUGAUGGUACGCGUGGACCAACUCUGUGUCCAGCACAACAUCAAGGUCUUCUGUGGCGACGUCUUCGGUUACCACGGAUACAUGUUCUCCGACCUUGGCCAGGAGCACAACUAUGUUGAGGAGAAGCCCAAAGUAGUCAAGCCCAAAACAGAGGAUUCCAAUGAUGGACCUGAGGCCAAAAAAACUAAGAUUGACCCCAAUGAGACCACCAUGAUCAAAAAGACGGCCUGCUUCUGCUCCUUGAAACUGGCUCUGGAAGUGGAUUGGACCAAUGAGAAGGCCAAGAGCAGCCUGAAGCACACCCCCGUGGACUACUUCUUGCUACAUGGUACCUGCUCCUUCCACAAAGCCAUUGGAUAUAAAUAUCUGUCUGAUAAAAGAGCGUUAGAUCACUAAUUGGCUGCCAUCACGUCUUUUUUCUUCUGCCAUACAUAACAGUGAAGCUAUAGAUUAAUGCCCUCUACACGUGAGCGUCUGCAGCUCCAAUGAUAUCGCCCACCACCAUACCCCCCUUCCUGUUUUGGUUGUUGUAGCAUUGCACCCUGUUCCUUCUAGUCUGAUUUGGUCCCUUAAUAGCCUUCACCUGGUUUCAUAGACCUUCUUAACAUGGCUCUGUUUCCAUCACAGGCUCUCCAUGGCCAGUCGUGUGUGACUUUAGAACAGAGAAACAAACAGCUAGCCACCACCCACGACACUUCACCCACAAGGCUGCGUACUCUAGCCCCUGUUGUUGGCUAAUAUUAAAAUAACAGCCGGAAAGGAAAGAAGCUGUUCAUUUGUUUGUUUUUGUCGUUUUCAGAGGUGUCUUACAGCAUUUGGGUUUCUAUAAUUAUGUCUAGACGUAGUGGUAUCUCUCGACUGAGCUGCUCUUGAGGAAGUGGUGCUUCCUCUGUUACAGCUCCUCUGGGGGUCAGGGGUGGGGGGUUAGCUUACUGUAUGCAACCAUAACACCUCUGGAGGAAUGGAAGGCAGCACAGGCGUGGGGGGCACAGGACUGUUUUCCCUCAACUUUGAUUUAGUCAAUGUAAUUUGAAUGUGUUGUUUUUGGUUCAUCCCUGUUUGAAUCUAAUCAAGAAUGUUCCAGACUACUCUCUUAAGACAAUGUUUACUUUGCACAGAUGUCUUUGUACACUUACAUAUUGUGCCAGGUUGAGAUAAUUCAAUGGGUGAGAGAAUAUUUAGUUGAGGGUGAUGAUUCAUGUGAUGGUGAUUUAUGCAUUUAUUUUAUUUUUUUGCGAGCGUGCGAGGUGUCAUUCUAGUGGAAAUAGCCGUGGGCGGACUGGGCUCCAUGAUGUGUUUGAUGGACAGCUAAAGAGAGGAAGUUCUGACACCUGUUUUAACACUGAGGGGGAUGGGUGUAGUACUAGUGGCGCGUGCUGACAGGACAAGGACAUGAGUCAUAGAUGUCUGAUCACGGCCCUGUCAAACUGAUCAAAAACUGCUCUUCAUUCAAAGCCAUUAUCAGAUGAAGAGUACUGCUGAAGUUCCGUACAGACAAAGGUCGCGACCCCCACCCAGAAAGCUUUGAGGCAGAUGCCAUGCUCCUGAGACAGAUCCGGGAUGAUGUCCUGGAGGCCAUGGGGCUG